rnacentral:tRNA from 1 species
UCCUUGGUGGGUCACUGGUUCAGACUCCAUGCUUCCAAUGCAGGGGGCCAAGGUUCAAUCCCUGGUCAGGGAA